rnacentral:tRNA from 1 species
GGGCCGGUAGAUCAGUAGUAGAUCGCUCCCUUGGCAUGGGAGAGGCCCCGGGUGCGAAUCCCGGCCGGUCCA